rnacentral:misc_RNA from 1 species
GGGAGGAAGAGGAGGAGUGGGAGGAAGAGGAAGAGGAGGAAGAAGAAGAAGAAGAUGAUGAUGAAGAAGAAGCUGUAGACGCAUUGUCUAGUUUUUCAAGCAAUCCCAGAUAUUCUAAUGCUUUAUCCCCAGAGUCCACGCAAGUUACUUGAUAAGAAGAAACUCUAAGCAGCCUCUCUAAAAGCUUCCUAUCAAGAAGACUAUCAUCCACAGCCAAGACAUGAAAAUGUUGCUCCUGCUCCUGCUGCUGAUCUUGCUGUGCCUCUUGUUGCUCUUGUUCCUGUUGAUGUGUAUUUUUAAGACCUGAUUUCUCCUCCAUUUGGUCAGAAAGAAAACUGCGCAACCCAAUUAUACCCAGUACUAGCUUCUGCUAUUCCUUAUAUCACCACACACAAGAACCCCUUAUAUACAGCAGCUUCAGAGAGAGAGAGGGAGAGAGAUGAGAGAUGUGUGGGGUUAUUCCGUGGGGUUUUUAUGAAGUAGGUGAGAAGCAACUGUGGGUUUACAGCAGAAGAAGAAGAGAUUUUAUUAUAUUUUUUUUCUUAAAUUGCAGAGAAGCAGGAGAGAUGUUAUUGUUCUUAUUGUUUUUUUUUUUUUUUCUUUUCUUUUCCCUGGUAUGAUCUCUUCCUAGAUUCUCUCUACCGUGCUGGUACAACCACUCAUCUCUCUUUCUCUCUUUUCUUUCUUUC